rnacentral:tRNA from 1 species
CGCGGGGUGGAGCAGUCUGGUAGCUCGUCGGGCUCAUAACCCGAAGGUCGAAGGUUCAAAUCCUUCCCCCGCUC